UACGAAGGGGGCUAGCGUUGCUCGGAAUUACUGGGCGUAAAGGGCGCGUAGGCGGACAGUUUAGUCAGAGGUGAAAGCCCAGGGCUCAACCUUGGAAUUGCCUUUGAUACUGGCCGUCUUGAGUUCGGGAGAGGUGAGUGGAAUGCCGAGUGUAGAGGUGAAAUUCGUAGAUAUUCGGCGGAACACCAGUGGCGAAGGCGACUCACUGGCCCGAUACUGACGCUGAGGCGCGAAAGCGUGGGGAGCAAACAGG
rnacentral:rRNA from 1 species